GGCGGCCCGAGUGGUGAUCGUGAUUAUUGGGUCUAAAGGGUCCGUAGCCGGUUUGGUCAGUCCUCCGGGAAAUCUGAUAGCUCAACUAUUAGGCUUUCGGGGGAUACUGCCAGACUUGGAACCGGGAGAGGUAAGAGGUACUACAGGGGUAGGAGUGAAAUCUUGUAAUCCCUGUGGGACCACCUGUGGCGAAGGCGUCUUACCAGAACGGGUUCGACGGUGAGGGACGAAAGCUGGGGGCACGAACCGGAUUAGAUACCCGGGUAGUCCCAGCCGUAAACGAUGCUCGCUAGGUGUCAGGCAUGGCGCGACCGUGUCUGGUGCCGCAGGGAAGCCGUGAAGCGAGCCACCUGGGAAGUACGGCCGCAAGGCUGAAACUUAAAGGAAUUGGCGGGGGAGCACAACAACGGGUGGAAGCCUGCGGUUUAAUUGGACUCAACGCCGGACAACUCACCGGGGGCGACAGCAAUAUGUAGGCCAAGCUGAAGACUUUGCCUGAAUCGCUGAGAAGAGGUGCAUGG
rnacentral:rRNA from 1 species